rnacentral:lncRNA from 1 species
AUGCCUCCCGGACUUCUGGAGAAGCCCUGCAGGCCUGAGAAGAAAGCUGGAAGCCGGAAGCCGAGCAUUUGGGCUGGAGGCAGAGCACGACUACUAACAAACCUCAACCAACCUCAACUCUUGGAACCCAAGCCUGUAUAUACCCUUGGAAAAGUUCCCAGAAUUCCAAACAUCACACGGUCACAGAAUCUAUCUGCAGCUGGCAAAACCACGCCCCUGCCAGAGCUCCAGGAUGUGGGUGGCGAGUGAGAA